rnacentral:misc_RNA from 1 species
GGAAGGAUCAUUAACGAAUCGAGGGUGCUGUCUGGGUGGCGGCUGGCUUGGCUGUGGUUGUGGGGAGUGAGGGAAGCGCGCUGGGUGCUUUCUGACGACCUGCCGCGGCUGCAGUCGCAGCCGACGCACGCUGCAAACGCCGAGCGGGUGGAAGCCUGGCUCUGGUCGGAUCGGGGGAUGGGUGCAGUGCUGCUGCUGGUGGGAGCAGUGCUUGUUGAAGUGUUGCUUUUGUCGGUGAGUAUUGCCGCAGAGCCGGUCCACAACAUGAACGCUUGCUUGUUUGUCAGUAGAGAGUGAAAAUUAAAGAUACAACUUUUAACAAUGGAUCUCUUGGCUCUUGCAACGAUGAAGAACGCAGUGAAAUGCGAAAAGUAAUGCGAUUUGCACGAAUCUGUGAGUCAUCAAGUCUUUGAACGCACCUUGCGCUGUAUGAGCGAUUGUACAGCAUGUCUGUUUGAGAAUCAUUAAAUAUUGUUGCCAGAGCGUGCAGUUUGUGGAUGUGUGUGUGCCGUGCGUGUGUGCACAUGUAAAUGUGGAUGCGCAGUGUGCGUGCAUGAGGAAGCAGUGUGGGCUUGGGCAGAGUUGUUGGUCGAGCGCAAGAGCGAGGGCUCUGUGCUCCCUGACUAAAAGGAGAAGAGGUGAUCCGGUCUGGUGGCCAGGGACAUUGUGUGCUAGAGGCAUUUGCUUGUCUUGUCACGAUGAGUUUCUGGUCGCAAAGCCAUUCUGGGGCGUUUUCUGCGAGUGGGGGACGAGAUGAGGAGGAUGGAUGGGGGGUUUGAUUGGGGUGGUGCUUGUUUGGCUGGAAUGUGAGGUGGCAAAGGUGGAUUCAUUCGCUGGCGUCGUCGCGCAGCUUGCCAAGCAGCUCUCUCUCUCUCACACACCCUCUCCGUCUCGUUGUCUCUCCCCUCCACACCACACACGACUUUGAUCUCAAAUCAGACAAGACUACCCGCUGAACUUAAGCAUAUCAGUAAGCGGAGGAAAAGAAACUAAACAAGGAUUCCCCUAGUAACGGCGAGCGAAGCGGGAAGAGCUCAAAUUUAAAUCUGGUAGGUUUCCUAUCCGAGUUGUAGUUUAAAGAGGCGCCGUCUGGGCCGUGCUGCGUGUUCAAGUCCCUUGGAAGAGGGCGCCACAGAGGGUGAGAGCCCCGUCUGGACACUUGGCUGGUUUCGCUGUGAGGCGUGCUCUACGAGUCGGGUUGUUUGGGAAUGCAGCUCAAAAUGGGUGGUAAAUUUCAUCUAAGGCUAAAUACUGGCAAGAGACCGAUAGCGAACAAGUACCGUGAGGGAAAGAUGAAAAGCACCUUGAAAAGGGAGUUAAAUAGUGCGUGAAAUUGUUAAAAGGGAAACGAUAGAAGCGAUGCGUGUGGCCGGGAGGUGGGCGUGGAAGCGCCCAGGAUCCUCGCGGCUGCGGGCCAGCAUGAGUUUGGGGUUCUGGAGAGGGGCGGCGGGGAAGAUGGAUGGCUGCAAGGUCAUUUUUAUAGACUGCUGCUGGCACAGGACCGUGGACUGAGGACUGCGCUUGUCGUACAGUGUGCUGCUGGGGCUGCGGUUGGCGCGGCGCAAACUACACGUAGGUUGCGGGGCGUGGGCUGCAGGGAGGCGCGCACCAGACAUUCCAGGAUGCUGGCGAAAUGGCUUUUAACGACCCCGUCUUGAAACACGGACCAAGGAGUCCAACGUCUGUGCGAGUAUUUGGGUGGCAAACCCUGAUGCGGAAUAAACGUGAAUGGGUGAGAGGGAUACAAAAGUGUUCUGCAUCACCGGUCGCGCAGCGGUCCGCCUCUGCGUGCACACGAGCACAGCCGCUGGGACCCGAAAGGUAGUGAACUAUGCCCGGAUAGGAUGAAGCCAGAGGAAACUCUGGUGGAGGUCCGUAGCCGUUCUGACGUGCAAAUCGAUGGUCAAAUCUGGGUAUAGGGGCGAAAGACUAAUCGAACUACCUAGUAGCUGGUUCCCUC